ensembl:lncRNA
CGCUGGGAGAUUUUUUGUGAUUCGCUAGCUCUCGUUGGAAAUGAAUGAGAAAGUGCGUGUAUGAAGUGGCCAAUCGUUAUUCUACCCUAAACAGGUCAACGAAUCAUCAUUAUCCGUUUUUGGUUAGGGAAACUGACAGAUUUCCGAAUGUGUCGUUCCCCGUUCUUCACUUGGAAAACGAGCAUAGUAAACGUAAACGUAGGCGGGGAAAUGGGAGGGGCGGUCGAACGGGGUGCGUUCAUUUAUGUUUCAUGCAGGGCAGCACUUUACCUGGCCAAGUUAACCUCUCCCUGAGCUCGAAUUUCCGAAGAGCCAACGUAUGGACAGAUUCCUAGCAGGAUUACUGGCUAUACAGUCAGUUACAGAUGACUUGCACAAUGUGCUGGAAUUACGGAGUGUGUGUGUGUAUGAUGACAGGCUGGCAGAGAGCUGCAGGUCUAGACAAGCCAGCAGAAUGGAAACAUGGGAGAGGGCCUCAAACAAACUCAGUGCUGGAGAUCACCCUAUGAAUGGUAGACAAUGUGCGAAUCAUGUGAAGCCACUCCAGAUGACCCAUGUUAUGCUGUGGGAGUCCUAUACCAUACCCCCUCCUUCACUGCGAGAACACCCCUUAAACACCUCCUGGGACAUGCUGCUCCCCAUGAAUGAACCAGGAGUAACAGCAACAACAUUCAAAUCCAAAAAGCAGGGCAAAUACCAGUUCUAUUGAAAACAUUGGAAGUAUUUGCCAGGAAUAUACAUGUCAUCUGACAACUCCUGACGAAACUGCUCAACUGAGGUCACUUUUCCCCACAGAAACCUUACCCUGGGCAAGUUUAAACAGAGCCUCUUUAGUCCAACUGAAAAAUUCCAAUAAUGUCUUCAUCUUGUAAAACAUUUGUAAAACUUCAUCUUGUAACUCUUUUGACAAAAGGUUGUCCUAUGUUACAAUGUUAGAUAAUUAAGGCAAUUUUCUUUGGUCUUCAAAUGUAUUAGUUUACUGUUACUAUGCAUGGGUUGGGAAAAGCCUCAGACAGUCAAUGUCUUGUUGAUGUUCUCAGCGUUACUAUAAAACUUUUUAGCACCUCCUCGUUGAGUCAAUCGAAACAUCUCUGCAUCUUUCCCACUUUCCUUUUUCCGAAGAUGACACAAUGUGUUUACACCAG